rnacentral:lncRNA from 1 species
GUGAAAUUUGCUUUUGCAGCUGUUCUUUACAAAAUGGCUCCCAUUGAAUAAUGAGUGUCCUGCUUUUUAUUUAAAAAUUUUCAACCCAUAUUAGUUUCCAAAUAACAACAUCAAGUUUGUUGGCUUUGCUGAACUUGGCUGCAGGGUUGACCAGUACUUACUGGCACGUGAGCAGGCGCCCGUCCUCCUUCUGUUGACUGCUUCUUCAGUUACAGGACUUCAUUUAAGAUGCUGAAAUAAACUCUAAUUGAAUGCACCAUCUGGAAACAUUGAACUACAUGGAGAAAGCAGUGGGAUCAAUUCACAUCAUCCUCCACACCCCCACUGGGUCUUUGACCAGCAGAGAGAAUGCAGAGCUAGUGCGGGACAAGUUGGUGGAAUAUAACAGUAAUGCCAAGAUUCUGGGGUUGGAGGGUCUCUUUGAACACAGGAUUCAUCACAUGCAAGUUGUGCAACCUUGGACAUGGAACUUAACCUACUCAUGCCUCAGUUUCCCCAGCUAUACAGUGGGGGUAAGAAAAGGGGCUGUAGGGGUGCCUGGGUGGCUCAGUCAUUAAGCGUCUGCCUUCGGCUCAGGGCGUGAUCCCGGCGUUAUGGGUUCGAGCCCCGCAUCAGACUCCUCCGCUGGGAGCCUGCUGCUUCCUCUCCCACUCCCCUGCUUGUGUUCCCUCUCUCGCUGGCUGUCUCUAUGUCAAAUAAAUAAAUAAAAAUCUUUAAAAAAAAAAAAAGAAAAGGAGCUGAGUGCUGGAGUUGUUUUGAAGAUUAAAUGAAUUCUCAUUUGUGAAGGUCUUGAAAGA